rnacentral:rRNA from 1 species
UAUGGAGGGUGCAAGCAUUAAUCGGAUUUAUUGGGCGUAAAGGGCGCGUAGGCUGAUUAUCAAGUCAGAUGUGAAAUACCAAAGCUCAACUUUGGUGCUGCAUUUGGAACUGAUAAUCUUGAGGGUUGGCGGAGAAAAUGGAAUUCCACGUGUAGCGGUGAAAUGCGUAGAUAUGUGGAAGAACACCUGUGGCGAAAGCGAUUUUCUAGCUAAUACCUGACGCUGAGGCGCGAGAGCAAGGGGAGCAAACAGG